AGUGAACUUCCGGGAAAGAGUUGCCAUAUAAUAUAAAAAGGCUUCUUUGUGUCUUGCCAGGGAAUGUGAGUAGCAUCUCCAAAUUGGCCCCUUGGAAAACCUGAAGUUCUGAGUUGCUAUAGCUUCCAAGUGUCAGGGCCAGAGGCACAGCGGUUGGAACUCAUGGUUUGCCAAAGAAAAGAGGCCUUGGUGAAAACUCCUUACUCUUGGUUGGAACCCUGAAGGGCUGUACCCUAGAGGUAAGGG
rnacentral:lncRNA from 10 species